rnacentral:rRNA from 1 species
UACGUAGGUGACAAGCGUUGUCCGGAUUUACUGGGCGUAAAGAGCGCGCAGGCGGUCGUUCAAGUCGAGUGUGAAAGCCCCCGGCUCAACUGGGGAGGGUCAUUCGAUACUGAUCGACUCGAAGGCAGGAGAGGGAAGUGGAAUUCCCGGUGUAGUGGUGAAAUGCGUAGAUAUCGGGAGGAACACCAGUGGCGAAGGCGACUUCCUGGCCCACUCUUGACGCUGAGGCGCGAAAGCUAGGGGAGCGAACGGG